rnacentral:tRNA from 1 species
GCCUUCGUGGUGUAGUGGUCAGCACACUCGGCGCGUAACCGAGAGGUCCGUGGUUCGAUUCCCUGCGAAGGUG